UACAGAGGUCUCAACCGUUGUCCGGAAUCAUUGGGCGUAAAGCGCGUGUAGGCGGUCCGGUAAGUCCGCUGUGAAAGUCGGGGGCUCAACCCUCGGAUGCCGGUGGAUACUGUCGGGCUUGAGUACGGAAGAGGCGAGUGGAAUUCCUGGUGUAGCGGUGAAAUGCGCAGAUAUCAGGAGGAACACCAAUUGCGAAGGCAGCUCGCUGGGACGUUACUGACGCUGAGACGCGAAAGCGUGGGGAGCAAACAGG
rnacentral:rRNA from 1 species